UAUUCUAGGAAGAAGCUUGGGCUAAGUUCGUGCCAGCAGCCGCGGUAAGACGAACCAAGCGAACGUUAUUCGGAAUUACUGGGCUUAAAGCGCGUGUAGGCGGACUACCACGUUGGUUGUUGAAAUCCCCCGGCUUAACCGGGGAACUGGCACCAAUACGAGUAGUCUGGAGGUGGGUAGGGGAGACUGGAACUUCCGGUGGAGCGGUGAAAUGCGUUGAGAUCGGAAGGAACGCCCGCGGCGAAAGCGAGUCUCUGGACCCAUACUGACGCUGAGACGCGAAAGCCAGGGGAGCAAACGGGAUUAGAUACCCCGGUAGUCCUGGCUGUAAACAUUGGGCACUGGGUAGUGGAACCGCCGAUGGUUUCACUGCCGCAGGGAAACCGUGAAGUGCCCCGCCUGGGGGAGUAUGGUCGCAAGGCUGAAACUCAAAGGAAUUGACGGGGGCUCACACAAGCAGUGGAGUAUGUGGCUUAAUUCGAGGCUACGCGAAAAACCUUACCUAGGCUUGACAUGCAAGGAUUAGUCGGCGGAAACGUCGAUGACGCCGCAAGGUGGAACUUGCACAGGUGCUGCAUGGCUGUCGUCAGCUCGUGCCGUGAGGUGUUGGGUUAAGUCCCGUAACGAGCGAAACCCCUGUGUCCAGUUGCCAGCGCGUAAAGGCGGGGACUCUGGACAGACCGCCGGUGUUAAACCGGAGGAAGGCGGGGACGACGUCAAGUCAUCAUGGCCCUUAUGCCUAGGGCUGCACACGUACUACAAUGGGCCGGACAAAGCGACGCAAGACCGCGAGGUGGAGCAAAUCGCAAAAACCGUCCCCCAGUUCAGAUUGUACUCUGCAAUUCGAGUACAUGAAGUUGGAAUUGCUAGUAAUCGCGGAUCA
rnacentral:rRNA from 1 species